rnacentral:lncRNA from 1 species
AGCAAGCGGCGUGUCUCUUCGUCGGCUUGGAAGAAGUUCUGAGUGGAAAGGUGGUGUUUGAGGGUGUCAAAAGAGAUAGGGUUGGUAGUGGUGGGGGUGGAGGAGGAAGUUGUAGGAGAAAGAGAGAAAGUGGUGGUCGUGGAAGAGGUUGUGGUGGUGGUGGAGGAUGAGGAGGAGGAGGGGGAGGGGUGGAGGAAAAGGGAGGAAGGUGGAAGGUGGAAGGAUUCUGAGUUGGAGAGGCGUUUGAGGAAAGAAUAUUGGUGGUGAAGGGAUGCUAGAGAGUGGGUGGUCAUGGUUUGGGUUUGUGGUGGGAAUAGUGUGACAAUGGCGAAAGGUAAAGAGAGAAAAAGGAU